rnacentral:rRNA from 1 species
UACAGAGGUCUCAAGCGUUGUUCGGAAUCACUGGGCGUAAAGGGCGCGUAGGCGGCUCAUGAAGGCUGUGGUGAAAGUCCGGGGCUCAACCUCGGAUCGGCCGUGGCGACUCGUGGGCUGGAGCACUGUAGAGGCGGGUGGAAUUCCGGGUGUAGCGGUGGAAUGCGUAGAGAUCCGGAAGAACACCAGUGGCGAAGGCGGCCCGCUGGGCAGUGGCUGACGCUGAGGCGCGACAGCGUGGGGAGCAAACAGG